rnacentral:rRNA from 1 species
CAAGGCUUGACAUGCAUCUCUAAUCGCGUGAAAGCGCGUGACCCUUCGGGGAAUUUGCACAGGUGCUGCAUGGCCGUCGUCAGCUCGUGUCGUGAGAUGUUGGGUUAAGUCCCGCAACGAGCGCAACCCUUGUGAUUAGUUGCCAGCACGUCAUGGUGGGAACUCUAGUCAGACUGCCCAGAUCAACUGGGAGGAAGGUGGGGACGACGUCAGGUCAGUAUGGCCCUUACGCCUUGGGCUGCACACGUACUACAAUGCCCAGCACAAUGAGAACCGAGACCGCGAGGUGGAGGAAAUCUGCAAAACUGGGCCCAGUUCGGAUUGGAGGCUGCAACUCGCCUCCAUGAAGCCGGAAUCGCUAGUAAUGACGCAUCAGCUACGGCGUCGUGAA